CGAGGCAGGUGAUCGCGGGCAGUGGCGGUUGGGCUCAGCAGGGUUUGAAGGAACCGAGCUGGGCUCUGGAACAACAUGUUCUGGUGCCCUGGGCAGGGCCCUCGCUGUUAUCUUACAGAAAGGCAGCGGGUGUUGUAGCAAAUGAACCAAAAAGUAACAUCACGGUCAAUAUGGUGCCAUGGUUCACACACGGGUCAGCUUUAAUUGUCAUGAAACAUUAUCCCUGGUCUGAUUCACGGAUUUUGUUGGUUGUUCUCACCUGCUGCUCGGUUGUGCAUUAGUGUGCUCUCUCGUGCUUUUUGUACACAAAGAAAAACACUACAUUAUCAUCAACCUUCUUAUGUUCCUUCUGGAGCUACAACUCCCCCUGAAGUCAAUGGGGACGUGAGCCAGAGCUGUAAGGAGUGUGGGAUUAAUAUGCCACACUUGGAUCUGAGAUGAAGAAGUUGUUAAGUAUGGGCUUGAUCCUGCAGUCCUUAUAUGAACAGUCUCAUCAAUCAGGACGAGAUUUAGGAUUAAUGCUGAGCGGCUCCUGAGUCCCUAUUAAGGCCUUGCUCCUCAGGCUACAGGAUACCAAAUGUAGUCAGCCAGUCGACUCCUCCCCACCACCCAGAUACCCCAUGCUAAGCUUGGAGACCUGCAAUUCUUUUGCCACAGCAGCACCCUGGUGGCAAAGAGGAGAUCCUUUGAGGGCAGAGGGGAUUUCCUGCAGCCCUGCCUGAUGUGGGACAUUCCAGCAGAGAUGGAGGAAGAGGCAUGUAUAUAUUGAAAAGGGGAGGGGAAGUGAGAGAGAGAACAUGUGGCUGCCGUGUAAAAUGUCCCUUUAACAUCUAAUAGAAUUUCACACCUAUAUCUCCAGUUACCGUAAUGCAACUUUCUAGUCACUGUGACAGCUUGCAGUCCAUAUUAGAAUUACACCUUGUUCCACAGGGUGAUAUUAUAGACACAGUAAUCAUUUUAACAACAUAUUACAGUUUUUACUGAGGCAAACAUCUCAUUGAAGGGAGUAUAGCCUGAACAAAACUUCAGGAUCAGGCCCCUUAUAGCUUUCAUUUUAUUUCCAAUCAAGAAGAGAGACUUCUCAAUGCAAGGCUGGCAUUCUACAGCGAGAGGUAGCAUGGACUGGUGCCUAAGGUACUGGACUAGAAUGCAGGGUGACAUUCUGGCCUCAUUCACUGGAGUCAGGAUUUCAUCUUGGGAUUCUACUUCCUGCUCCACUACAGACUUCCUACGUGACCUUGGCAAGUCACUUCACCUGCCAGUGCUUCUUUCCCCUCUUAUACCAUAGGUGUCUCGUCUAUUUACAUUGUAAGCUCUUCAG